AUUUGCGAUGCAAUGUUUCUCUUCUCUUCAGGGACUGGACAUACAUAUUUUCUGUAAAUAUUACCAACUGUAUGUUAAAUGAAUGUCUGAUGCAAUACAUAUCCCCGACAACGAUUGGUACAUUUUACUAGGGGGUAUCGUUAACUUUGACGAUUGUCAUUACUGGCAACCGCAAAGAAAAUGUAAACAUAACAUUAUUAACCCAAUUGCCGUGCUGAUAGAUGAGUUGAGCGGAACUACUUUCCUAUAUUGAUUUCUCCACAGAAGAAGGACGAAUUAACCCAGAUUCAGGAAAGCCAAACAAUGAUCCGUGCUGCUGGGGGAGAAUGCGAAGAUAUUACUUCAAUAAUGAGGAAUCUGGCGAUUUCGAGGCCCAAGAACGAGCCCCGCUGAGUCCUAAUUCCACCGCUAUGCUGUCGGUUUAGGUCAAGGGUAACUUCAUAAAAGAUUUGCUGACGAUUGUAAUUGGUGGUUCGAUCAAUUGGAUGUUUUCGGACGAAGAUUCCGUUUCCACCGACGCUGUGCUCCAACUCAAUGUUGCAAGGGGACAUAGAGCUGACUUCAAUUAAUGCCGCCUGGGUUUCGUCAGCUUCGUGGUAUUUCCCGAAUUUGGUUGGCUGAUAAGUAUUUACACGCUGGUCCUGGGAGAGAGUAAUGCCGCGGACCAGAACUCAAUCGAUGCAGAAUCAGAUGUCGUGCGCUGCACUAGCCGUGACACAAGUUAAUAUGCAAUGUAAUUUUGUUAAUAUCGCAUUUUAGAUAGUUCAAUAAAUCACUAAAACUA